rnacentral:rRNA from 1 species
CCUACGGGGGGCAGCAGUCGAGAAUCAUUCACAAUGGGGGAAACCCUGAUGGUGCGACGCCGCGUGGGGGAAUGAAGGUCUUCGGAUUGUAAACCCCUGUCAUGUGGGAGCAAAUUAAAAAGAUAGUACCACAAGAGGAAGAGACGGCUAACUCUGUGCCAGCAGCCGCGGGAAUACAGAGGUCUCAAGCGUUGUUCGGAAUCACUGGGCGUAAAGCGUGCGGAGGCUGUUUCGUAAGUCGUGUGUGAAAGGCGCGGGCUCAACCCGCGGACGGCACAUGAUACUGGGAGACUAGAGUAAUGGAGGGGGAACCGGAAUUCUCGGUGUAGCAGUGAAAUGCGUAGAUAUCGAGAGGAACACUCGUGGCGAAGGCGGGUUCCUGGACAUUAACUGACGCUGAGGCACGAAGGCCAGGGGAGCGAAAGGGAUUAGAUACCCGAGUAGUC